rnacentral:rRNA from 1 species
AGUGAACGCUGGCGGUAGGCCUAACGCAUGCAAGUCGAACGGCAGCACAGUAAGUGCUUGCUCUUACGGGUGGCGAGCGUCGGACGGGUGCGGUAUACAUCGGAAUCUACUUUUUCGUGUGUGAUAACGUAGGGAAACUUACGCUAAUACCGCAUACGACCUACUUGUGAAAGCAGGGGAUCUUCUGACCUUUUGCGAUUGAAUUAGCCGAUGUCGGAUUAGCUAGUUGGCGGGUUAAAGGCACACCAAGGCCACGAUCCGCAGCUGGUCUGAGAGAAUGAUUCGCUAGACUGGAGCUGAGAAAGGGUCCAGACUCCUACGCGAGGAAGCAGUCGGGAAUAUUGGACAAUGGGGGAAAGCGGGAUCCAGCAAUACGGCGUGGGUCCUGAAGGACCUCGGGUUGUUAAGCCAUUAUGGUGUGAGGAAAGAGAAGCAGGUUAAUCCCCGACUGUUCUGACGGUACCCAAAGAAGAAGCACCGGCUAACUUCGUG